rnacentral:lncRNA from 1 species
GCUUCUUUUUGUAGGUGACCCUAUCUUUCUUUCUGGCUGCCCUUACAAUUUUUUCCUUCUUUUUGACUUUGGAGAAUCUGAAGAUUAUGUGUGUUGGUGUUAAUCUUCUCAUGGAGUAUCUUACUGAGGUUCUCUGAAUUUCCUGAAUUUGAAUGUUGGCUUGUCUUGCUAGGUUGGGGAAGUUCUCCUGGAUAAUAUCUUAAAUCAGGCCCUUCUUCAGUAGGGCUGCUGCAGUUUGCUGGGGUGAACUCCAGACCUGAAUUUCCUGGGUCUCUCCUGCACCCGGAGAUGUCACCAGUGGAGGCUGCAGAAGAGAAAAGAUGACUGCCUCUUCUUCUGGGAUCUCUGUCCCACAGGGACUCUGACCUGGUGCUGGUGGAAAUGCUUCUAUACAAGGUCACGCCAAAUGCCUAGUCAACCCUAAUGAGAGAACCUAGAUACCUCACCUGCCGAUGCAGCAUUCACUUGCCAUUUUCUUUCUUCUUGGUGGGCGUUUCCGACCAUAGCUGUUUCUAGUUGGCCAUCUUGGCACCCCACCUCUUAAUACUGUCACAAUUACAAUAGAAUUUGAACAUGAGUCUUGAUACGAAUAUUCAAACCAUAACAUCCAGUCUACUGAAGAGGCCAUUAAAGUCACUGACCAUUUGGAAGACCAAGGCGGGAAGAUUACUUGAGGUCAGGAGUUCGAGGCCAGCCUGGCCAACAUGGUGAAACCCUGUCUCUACCAAAAAUACAACACUUAGCCAGGUGUGUUGGCACAUGCCUGUAGUCACAACUACUCGGGAGGCUGAGGCAGGAGAAUCGCUUGAACCCAGAAGGCGGAGGUUGCAGUGAGCAGAGAUGGUGCCACUGCACAACAGCCUUUUUAGACUCUGUCUCAAAAAAAGAAAAAAGAAAAAAGUUACUUAUCAUGAUAGUUCAAGAUGAUGCUUUGUCUUGGAUACUUUUACACAUGUAAAGUCAAAUGAGAGAAUUUAAGUUAUUUGGGGAAUUAUUUUAAAAGCCAUAUUGUUCCCCUUAUCAAAUACUCCUAAAACCUACUAAAACCUAAGUGCCACUUUCUUAGAUUUUCCAGAACACUCUAAGCAUUUAUAACAGUAGUUAGUACAACGUUCUGUAAAUAUUGGUUUAGGGGUUAGUCUCUUCAGUUUAGUAACAUUUCAUUAACCACCAUGAAUGGCAUAGUGUAUAUUUUUCAUUUGUAUUCCAC